AUUGAACGCUGGCGGCAGGCCUAACACAUGCAAGUCGAGCGGAUGAGGGAAGCUUGCUUCCCGAUUUGGCGGCGGACGGGUGAGUAAUGCCUAGGAAUCUGCCUAUUAGUGGGGGAUAACGUUCCGAAAGGAACGCUAAUACCGCAUACGUCCUACGGGAGAAAGUGGGGGAUCUUCGGACCCCACGCUACUAGAUGAGCCUAGGUCGGAUUAGCUAGUUGGUGAGGUAACGGCUCACCAAGGCGACGAUCCGUAGCUGGUCUGAGAGGAUGAUCAGCCACACUGGAACUGAGACACGGUCCAGACUCCUACGGGAGGCAGCAGUGGGGAAUAUUGGACAAUGGGCGAAAGCCUGAUCCAGCCAUGCCGCGUGUGUGAAGAAGGUCUUCGGAUUGUAAAGCACUUUAAGUUGGGAGGAAGGGCUGUAAGCUAAUAUCUUGCAGCUUUGACGUUACCAACAGAAUAAGCACCGGCUAACUCUGUGCCAGCAGCCGCAGUAAAAC
rnacentral:rRNA from 1 species